UGGGGUAAACGGACAGAGCCCGUGAAUCCGGGCGACGGAAUUCAGAAUCGACGGCGUUCGCGCGUCGUCGGUUCGAUGUUUCCGUCGCCGUUGGUACGGACGUCGCGACCCGUUCGGCGUCGGCCAAAGGAGACGCGUGAAAGUUCGUGGGCGCGUGCCGGCCGUUUCGGCGGUUCGGUGCGUGUUCGCGAGUCCGCGUUCUGUUUUCUGACCGACUCGCCGGACGGUAUGCGUAACGGUGACCGCGGCGGCCUUUUGAAGCGCCGUCGCAACGGUACCGGUCAGCGACGAAUCUU
rnacentral:rRNA from 1 species